rnacentral:rRNA from 1 species
CCUACGGGAGACAGCAGUGAGGAAUAUUGGUCAAUGGACGAGAGUCUGAACCAGCCAAGUAGCGUGAAGGAUGACUGCCCUAUGGGUUGUAAACGUCUUUUAUAAAGGAAUAAAACGAGGCACGUGUGCCUUUUUGCAUGUACUUUAUGAAUAAGGAUCGGCUAACUCCGUGCCAGCAGCCGCGGUAAUACGGAGGAUCCGAGCGUUAUCCGGAUUUAUUGGGUUUAAAGGGAGCGUAGAUGGGUUGUUAAGUCAGUUGUGAAAGUUUGCGGCUCAACCGUAAAAUUGCAAUUGAUACUGGCUGUCUUGAGUACAGUAGAGGUAGGCGGAAUGCGUGGUGUAGCGGUGAAAUGCUUAGAUAUCACGAAGAACCCCGAUUGCGAAGGCAGCUUACUAAACUGUGACUGACAUUGAUGCUCGAAAGUGUGGGUAUCAAACAGGAUUAGAUACCCCUGUAGUC